UACGGGAGGCAGCAGUGGGGAAUAUUGCACAAUGGGCGCAAGCCUGAUGCAGCCAUGCCGCGUGUAUGAAGAAGGCCUUCGGGUUGUAAAGUACUUUCAGCAGUGAGGAAGUGGGUAUGUUAAUAGCAUAUUCAUUUGACGUUAGCUGCAGAAGAAGCACCGGCUAACUCCGUGCCAGCAGCCGCGGUAAUACGGAGGGUGCGAGCGUUAAAUCGGAAUUACUGGGCGUAAAGCGCAUGCAGGUGGUUUGUUAAGUCAGAUGUGAAAGCCCGGGGCUCAACCUCGGAAUUGCAUUUGAAACUGGCAAACUAGAGUACUGUAGAGGGGGUAGAAUUUCAGGUGUAGCGGUGAAAAUGCGUAGAGAUCUGAAGGAAUACCGGUGGCGAAGGCGGCCCCCUGGACAGAUACUGACACUCAGAUGCGAAAGCGUGGGGAGCAAACAGGAUUAGAUACCCUGGUAG
rnacentral:rRNA from 1 species